GGGAAUGCAGCUCUAAAUGGGAGGUAAAUUUCUUCUAAAGCUAAAUACCGGCCAGAGACCGAUAGCGCACAAGUAGAGUGAUCGAAAGAUGAAAAGCACUUUGGAAAGAGAGUUAAAAAGUACGUGAAAUUGUUGAAAGGGAAGCGCUUGCAGCCAGACUUGUCCGCAGUUGCUCAGCCGGUCUCCUGACCGGUGUACUCUUCUGCGGCCAGGCCAGCAUCAGUUCGGGCGGUCGGAUAAAGACCUCGGGAAUGUAGCUCCUCUCGGGGAGUGUUAUAGCCCGGGGUGGAAUGCGGCCAGCCUGGACUGAGGAUCUCGCUUCGGC
rnacentral:rRNA from 1 species